rnacentral:rRNA from 1 species
GGUAAACCUGCGGAAGGAUCAUU